CCUACGGGAGGCAGCAGUGAGGAAUAUUGGUCAAUGGCCGAGAGGCUGAACCAGCCAAGUCGCGUGAGGGAAGACGGCCCUACGGGUUGUAAACCUCUUUUGUCGGGGAGUAAAGCGAACCAUGUGUGGUUCAUUGAGCGUACCCGAAGAAAAAGCAUCGGCUAACUCCGUGCCAGCAGCCGCGGUAAUACGGAGGAUGCGAGCGUUAUCCGGAUUUAUUGGGUUUAAAGGGUGCGCAGGCGGAGGUGCAAGUCAGCGGUCAAAUUGCGGGGCUCAACCCCGUAGUGCCGUUGAAACUGGAUCCCUUGAGUGCGCGAGAAGUAUGCGGAAUGCGUGGUGUAGCGGUGAAAUGCAUAGAUAUCACGCAGAACUCCGAUUGCGAAGGCAGCAUACCGGAGCGCAACUGACGCUCAUGCACGAAAGCGUGGGUAUCGAACAGGAUUAGAUACCCUUGUAGUC
rnacentral:rRNA from 1 species